rnacentral:rRNA from 1 species
AGAUAAUGGCCCUUGGCGGCGCAAGCCUGACCCCCCAUCGCCGCGUGCGAUGAUGAAGGUCCUUCUGGUUUGUAACCUCCCUUUUAUCCGGACGAAACCCCCCCUCGUGACGGGAGCUGACGUCCGGUGAGAUUAAACACCGCCUAACUUCUUGCCACCACCCCCGGUAUAAUAUAAAAGG